rnacentral:rRNA from 1 species
GAUGAACGCUAGCUACAGGCUUAACACAUGCAAGUCGAGGGGCAGCGGGAUUGAAGCUUGCUUCAAUUGCCGGCGACCGGCGCACGGGUGAGUAACGCGUAUCCAACCUUCCGUACACUCAGGGAUAGCCUUUCGAAAGAAAGAUUAAUACCUGAUGGUAUGAUGAGAUUGCAUGAUAUCAUCAUUAAAGAUUUAUCGGUGUACGAUGGGGAUGCGUUCCAUUAGGUAGUAGGCGGGGUAACGGCCCACCUAGCCAACGAUGGAUAGGGGUUCUGAGAGGAAGGUCCCCCACAUUGGAACUGAGACACGGUCCAAACUCCGACGGGAGGCAGCAGUGAGGAAUAUUGGUCAAUGGACGAGAGUCUGAACCAGCCAAGUAGCGUGAAGGAUGAAGGUCCUACGGAUUGUAAACUUCUUUUAUAAGGGAAUAAACCCUCCCACGUGUGGGAGCUGGUAUGUACCUUAGGAAUAAGCAUCGGCGAACUCCGG